CGCGGCGCAAGUGUUCGGCGGCGGCACCCCCACCGUCGACCGGUGGGAGAUCGCGGUGCUGCACCGUGACCACCGCUCGGGGCGGGGCGCCGGCG
rnacentral:tRNA from 1 species